ACCUAACAUUAACUUAACACCGAGUUUAACACCUUCAACAAAGUGUGACUGAUUUGGUACAUAGUAAAGGUCUUCCCCAUACAUGCUUACUAGUUACUAGUUAUAAAUACAUGUAUAUGUUUAUCAGACGUCUGAUAAAAAUACAUGUUGCGUAUGGUUAACUCAUUGAUAGAUAGCUAAUAAUAACGCGGCAUUUUGUAUUAUCUGUUUAGUUCAAAUCUGGAGAACUCGUUGACCGUGAGUUUCGCGUUGUUUGUUGUAAAUUAAAUCAACCAGCUAGUAACAAAUUAUGACUUCCCCAACAGAAAAAUCUUAUAAAAUAAGAGACGCAACUAAAGCCGAUAGGGAUGCUAUUGUGGAGUUUUUGAGGAUUAGUUUUUUCAGAGACGAACCUUUAAAUGCUUUUUUAGAAUUAGUCACGGAAGAAAAUCCAACUUGUGAAACCUUAGAAGAGUUCACAGUGGGACAUAUUCCGAAUGGGAUAAAUUUGGUAGCAAUUCAUAAUGAUCAAAUCGUAG
rnacentral:lncRNA from 1 species